rnacentral:lncRNA from 1 species
AGUGUUCCCUCAGCAGUAGCCUGUCCCUUCCAGUCCACAUUCCCAACAAAUCAUCCCCAAAAUGCGCUGCUCAGCUCAAUCUGAAGAGAAGAAGAGACACAAGGCAGCGCAGGCUUCGCAGUGUGAAAUUAUUGUCGAGCAGGGAUCGCACGGGUCCCUCCUGGCUUUAAAUAAUCCCAAAAAAUAGAUGCCUCUGGAUUGCCUCCACGGAGCGAGGGCUGCGUGUGGACAAGCAUUAAUAUUUCCAUUUGCUGUCGGGAAUUCAGACACCACCAUUCUUGGAGCAGCUCUGGAUUGGGUGUCCACGGUUUGGGAUGGAGACAGGCAGUCUGUGAGGGCUUCAGCAGCUGGCACAGCCCUGGAGAGCAUCCCACAAAUGGAUCUGUAUGAAGGAAAAGUCAUACCUUCCCCACCAGCAAACCUGUUUUAUUGUGCUCUUUACCCAUGUGCUUCUGCUGGAGAAUUAUGGUUCCUUUAUCAGGAUAACACCUCAGGAGCCACCAGUGGAAUGAUCUUCCAAUCCUGGGUGGAAGGACGGGCUCCAGCUGUCCCCCCAUGGACCCCCAAGCCCUAAUGCACUGAUGAGUAUGGAUACAGGGAUCAGCCUCUUCCCUCCAGCAAUUAAUCUGGCCUCCAUCCUACUGGGUCAUCUCCCAAGCAGUGCUCAGAUAAAUUUGCCCCCAGAGCUGUGAGCCUCAGAGGUCCCUGGCUUGCACACAUCAAAGCAGAGCUGGUGACAUCAUGGAGAUCACAGAAAACAUCAACUCUGCCUGUCUGGGGUGGGGGAAAACAGCUCCUUGUGGAUCCACAGCUGGUGGGGCUCUGAAUUACACAAGAGCCGAGGAACAUUCCAACCAUAACAUCCUGCAGCCUCCCCACCACCAGACAACUCAUCUUUUAUUAGGGUAGGAAUGUGUCUUUAAUAAACUGGAGGUUUUUAACUUGUCA